CGUUAGAUCACCGAAGUCAAGCAUCAUUGGGCGCGGUCAAUACUUGGGUGGGUGACCACCUGGGAACACCGCGUGCCGUU